GUCUGUAUGAAAGCAAUAUAAAGUCUGGCCUGCCCACUGAAUACUUAAAGGGCCGCGGUAAUUUGACCGUGCGAAGGUAGCAUAAUCAAUAGUCUUUUAAUUGAGGGCUGGAAUGAAUGGUCGGACAAGAGGAAGUCUGUCUUUUUUAUAAAAAUUGAAUUUAACUUUUGAGUGAGAAGGCUCAAAUAUUUUGAAGGGACGAUAAGACCCUAUAAAACUUUAUAAGGUUUAGGAUAUUUUUUAAAUUUGGGUGUAAAAAGAAAUCUUCUUAUUUUAUUACGUUGGGGCGGCGAAAAUAUAAGUUGUAACUGUUUAUUAGUUAAAAUAAAAAUGCUUAGGGAAGUUGAUCCUUUAUUAGGGAUUAUAAGAGUAAGUUACUUUAGGGAUAACAGCGUGAUUUUUUCUGAGAGUUCCUAUCGACGAAAGUAGUUGCGACCUCGAUGUUGAAUUAAAGUUUCUCCGGGGUGUAGAAGCUCUGAGCGUAGGUCUGUUCGACCUUUAAAACUUUACAUGAUUUGAGUUCAAACCGGUGUGAG
rnacentral:rRNA from 2 species